rnacentral:lncRNA from 1 species
UUUUCAAUGCAUUUAUAAAUAAGCCUUUUUAUUGAUAUGAUUGAAGUUGAAGAUUGAAAAGUGUUGGAAAUCAAAAUUGUCAAUUGGUUGAAAGUUUCUUGCAUAACAAUCCACACAAAUUUAAAAGAAACUCAUCAACAUUUAAGUUAUAACCAACAAUAGCUUAUGCAAGAAAGUAAAAGGAAAAAAAUUAUGAAUUGGAACUUGUGGAGUGUAUGGUUGGUUAAAACUAA